rnacentral:snRNA from 1 species
GGAUAUGUGGAAAAUCUGGUUGUGACAUCUGUCACCCCACUGAUCACCAGGUUUGAUUCGACUAAUCUGGCUGGCUAGGUUGGUGUCCCCUUCUUCCCUCACUGCUCCAUGUGUGUCCCUCCCAAAGCUGCAUGCUUGGUCGAAGAGGAUGACCCGAUAGAGGAGGACCAGUCUUUGGUCAAGGGUAUACGAAGAGCUGCACUCCCCUGCUAGAACCUACAAACAUGCUUUCAAAAAGCUUGGGAAGACAGACUGAAGAAUGAGAUGUUUUAGGGACUAAGCACUUUGAAAGCUCCUACAUAUUCCCUGGA